CUGAGCUGGUGAUGAUGCAAAAGUUAUCCCUGUCUGAAGCUUUUCUGUGUGUGGAGGUUUGGAGUCUGAAGCUCAG